rnacentral:rRNA from 2 species
UUAAGCGACUAAGCGUACACGGUGGAUGCCCUGGCAGUCAGAGGCGAUGAAGGACGUGCUAAUCUGCGAUAAGCGUCGGUGAGGUGAUAUGAACCGUUAUAACCGGCGAUUUCCGAAUGGGGAAACCCAGUGUGUUUCGACACACUAUCAUUAACUGAAUCCAUAGGUUAAUGAGGCGAACCGGGGGAACUGAAACAUCUAAGUACCCCGAGGAAAAGAAAUCAACCGAGAUUCCCCCAGUAGCGGCGAGCGAACGGGGAGGAGCCCAGAGCCUGAAUCAGUGUGUGUGUUAGUGGAAGCGUCUGGAAAGGCGCGCGAUACAGGGUGACAGCCCCGUACACAAAAAUGCACAUAUUGUGAGCUCGAUGAGUAGGGCGGGACACGUGGUAUCCUGUCUGAAUAUGGGGGGACCAUCCUCCAAGGCUAAAUACUCCUGACUGACCGAUAGUGAACCAGUACCGUGAGGGAAAGGCGAAAAGAACCCCGGCGAGGGGAGUGAAAAAGAACCUGAAACCGUGUACGUACAAGCAGUGGGAGCCUCUUUAUGGGGUGACUGCGUACCUUUUGUAUAAUGGGUCAGCGACUUAUAUUCUGUAGCAAGGUUAACCGAAUAGGGGAGCCGAAGGGAAACCGAGUCUUAACUGGGCGUUAAGUUGCAGGGUAUAGACCCGAAACCCGGUGAUCUAGCCAUGGGCAGGUUGAAGGUUGGGUAACACUAACUGGAGGACCGAACCGACUAAUGUUGAAAAAUUAGCGGAUGACUUGUGGCUGGGGGUGAAAGGCCAAUUAAACCGGGAGAUAGCUGGUUCUCCCCGAAAGCUAUUUAGGUAGCGCCUCGUGAAUUCAUCUCCGGGGGUAGAGCACUGUUUCGGCAAGGGGGUCAUCCCGACUUACCAACCCGAUGCAAACUGCGAAUACCGGAGAAUGUUAUCACGGGAGACACACGGCGGGUGCUAACGUCCGUCGUGAAGAGGGAAACAACCCAGACCGCCAGCUAAGGUCCCAAAGUCAUGGUUAAGUGGGAAACGAUGUGGGAAGGCCCAGACAGCCAGGAUGUUGGCUUAGAAGCAGCCAUCAUUUAAAGAAAGCGUAAUAGCUCACUGGUCGAGUCGGCCUGCGCGGAAGAUGUAACGGGGCUAAACCAUGCACCGAAGCUGCGGCAGCGACACUAUGUGUUGUUGGGUAGGGGAGCGUUCUGUAAGCCUGUGAAGGUGGCCUGUGAGGGUUGCUGGAGGUAUCAGAAGUGCGAAUGCUGACAUAAGUAACGAUAAAGCGGGUGAAAAGCCCGCUCGCCGGAAGACCAAGGGUUCCUGUCCAACGUUAAUCGGGGCAGGGUGAGUCGACCCCUAAGGCGAGGCCGAAAGGCGUAGUCGAUGGGAAACAGGUUAAUAUUCCUGUACUUGGUGUUACUGCGAAGGGGGGACGGAGAAGGCUAUGUUGGCCGGGCGACGGUUGUCCCGGUUUAAGCGUGUAGGCUGGUUUUCCAGGCAAAUCCGGAAAACCAAGGCUGAGGCGUGAUGACGAGGCACUACGGUGCUGAAGCGACAAAUGCCCUGCUUCCAGGAAAAGCCUCUAAGCAUCAGGUAACAUCAAAUCGUACCCCAAACCGACACAGGUGGUCAGGUAGAGAAUACCAAGGCGCUUGAGAGAACUCGGGUGAAGGAACUAGGCAAAAUGGUGCCGUAACUUCGGGAGAAGGCACGCUGAUAUGUAGGUGAAGCGACUUGCUCGUGGAGCUGAAAUCAGUCGAAGAUACCAGCUGGCUGCAACUGUUUAUUAAAAACACAGCACUGUGCAAACACGAAAGUGGACGUAUACGGUGUGACGCCUGCCCGGUGCCGGAAGGUUAAUUGAUGGGGUUAGCGGUAACGCGAAGCUCUUGAUCGAAGCCCCGGUAAACGGCGGCCGUAACUAUAACGGUCCUAAGGUAGCGAAAUUCCUUGUCGGGUAAGUUCCGACCUGCACGAAUGGCGUAAUGAUGGCCAGGCUGUCUCCACCCGAGACUCAGUGAAAUUGAACUCGCUGUGAAGAUGCAGUGUACCCGCGGCAAGACGGAAAGACCCCGUGAACCUUUACUAUAGCUUGACACUGAACAUUGAGCCUUGAUGUGUAGGAUAGGUGGGAGGCUUUGAAGUGUGGACGCCAGUCUGCAUGGAGCCGACCUUGAAAUACCACCCUUUAAUGUUUGAUGUUCUAACGUUGGCCCGUAAUCCGGGUUGCGGACAGUGUCUGGUGGGUAGUUUGACUGGGGCGGUCUCCUCCUAAAGAGUAACGGAGGAGCACGAAGGUUGGCUAAUCCUGGUCGGACAUCAGGAGGUUAGUGCAAUGGCAUAAGCCAGCUUGACUGCGAGCGUGACGGCGCGAGCAGGUGCGAAAGCAGGUCAUAGUGAUCCGGUGGUUCUGAAUGGAAGGGCCAUCGCUCAACGGAUAAAAGGUACUCCGGGGAUAACAGGCUGAUACCGCCCAAGAGUUCAUAUCGACGGCGGUGUUUGGCACCUCGAUGUCGGCUCAUCACAUCCUGGGGCUGAAGUAGGUCCCAAGGGUAUGGCUGUUCGCCAUUUAAAGUGGUACGCGAGCUGGGUUUAGAACGUCGUGAGACAGUUCGGUCCCUAUCUGCCGUGGGCGCUGGAGAACUGAGGGGGGCUGCUCCUAGUACGAGAGGACCGGAGUGGACGCAUCACUGGUGUUCGGGUUGUCAUGCCAAUGGCACUGCCCGGUAGCUAAAUGCGGAAGAGAUAAGUGCUGAAAGCAUCUAAGCACGAAACUUGCCCCGAGAUGAGUUCUCCCUGAGACUUAGAGUCUCCUGAAGGAACGUUGAAGACGACGACGUUGAUAGGCCGGGUGUGUAAGCGCAGCGAUGCGUUGAGCUAACCGGUACUAAUGAACCGUGAGGCUUAACCUU